rnacentral:rRNA from 1 species
UACGGGGGGAGCAAGCGUUGUUCGGAUUUACUGGGCGUAAAGGGCGCGUAGGCGGCCACCGCAAGUCGACUGUGAAAUCUCCGGGCUUAACCCGGAAAGGUCAGCCGAUACUGCGGGGCUAGAGUGCAGAAGGGGCAACUGGAAUUCUCGGUGUAGCGGUGAAAUGCGUAGAUAUCGAGAGGAACACCUGCGGCGAAGGCGGCCAGCUGGGAUACACCUGACGCUGAGGCACGAAGGCGUGGGGAGCGAACGGG